AAGUCAGUUCGAUUCUUAAGAAUAUAGAUGAAAAAGAGUGACAGAGCAAGAGAGAUUGAAUGAAAGUGAAGGACUGGAUAGAAGUCAAGAUUCUGGCCUAGCUUUCUAUCGGUAGAGUCUCCCUUAGUUUUAAAGAGCAAAACUUAUCGAUGGAGGAUCUCUGACCCUCUAUUUAUGGAGAGGUUAAGGAGAUCAUUUUAGAGUUUGUUAGACCAUUAGAAAAAUUU
rnacentral:lncRNA from 1 species